rnacentral:rRNA from 1 species
UACGUAGGGGGCAAGCGUUGUCCGGAAUCAUUGGGCGUAAGGCGCGUGUAGGCGGCCUUGUAAGUCCGUUCUGAAAGUCCGGGGCUCAACCCCGGGAGGCGGAUGGAUACUGCAAGGCUCGAGUACGGAAGAGGCGAGUGGAAUUCCCGGUGUAGCGGUGAAAUGCGCAGAUAUCGGGAGGAACACCAAUGGCGAAGGCAGCUCGCUGGGACGUUACUGACGCUGAGACGCGAAAGCGUGGGGAGCAAACAGG